GUUUGUCUUCUUUCCAGAGCAUUUCUUAGUCCUAAAGGAAUAGUCAGAUAAUAAUACCCUGGCUGUCUAAUCACAAGUUUACGAAGGCGUGGUAUCACAAUCGAGUGAAUUGAUCCUUCAAUUCAGAAAACCUGAAGUACAAGCAUUUUGAAAAUGGGCACGGUAACCAUUUGGAUGAUCCGGAAGAUGCCAUACAAAAAUUCCUUGUGAACCUCUUUCCGGUGGCCUAUCACUUGAUUUUCGAUUGGAAGGAAGAUUAUGGAUUACAUCAAUUGCUAGAAGGAGAUAUUCAACGACCUACAGUCAUUUGGCAGAAUAUCAAAGGAGAUCAAAUCUUUAUAAAUUCUUCGCAACAGCGCGCUGAGGUUCUCAGCUAAACUGGUCAGUUGUAGAUGUAAAAGAGAACGUAUAAAUUAGAGAAAUGUAACAGUAGUAAAGUAGAUGUAA
rnacentral:lncRNA from 1 species